AGAGUUUGAUCCUGGCUCAGGACGAACGCUGGCGGCAUGCCUAACACAUGCAAGUCGAACGAGAAAGCUUCUUCGGAAGUUAUUAAAGUGGCGCACGGGUGAGUAACGCGUAGACAAUCUGCCCUUCAGUCUGGGACAACUUUCCGAAAGGGGAGCUAAUACCGGAUAACAAUGUUUGACAUAAGUUAAAUAUUUGAAAGCUCCGGCGCUGAUGGAUGAGUCUGCGUCCCAUUAGCUUGUUGGUGUGGUAGUGGCGCACCAAGGCUACGAUGGGUAGCGGGUUUGAGAGGACGAUCCGCCACACUGGAACUGAGACACGGUCCAGACUCCUACGGGAGGCAGCAGUGGGGAAUAUUGCACAAUGGAGGAAACUCUGAUGCAGCAAUGCCGCGUGAGUGAAGAAGGCCCUUGGGUCGUAAAGCUCUUUUAUGGGGGAAGAUGAUGACGGUACCCCAAGAAUAAGCACCGGCUAACUACGUGCCAGCAGCCGCGGUAAUACGUAGGGUGCGAGCGUUGUUCGGAAUUACUGGGCGUAAAGGGCGCGCAGGCGGAGGUGUAAGUCGGAGGUGAAAGCCCGGGGCUCAACCCCGGAGGGUCUUUCGAAACUGCAUCUCUAGAGAGGGUCAGGGGCCGGCAGAAUUCCUGGUGUAGAGGUGAAAUUCGUAGAUAUCAGGAGGAAUACCGGUGGCGAAAGCGGCCGGCUGGGGCCACUCUGACGCUGAGGCGCGAAAGCGUGGGGAGCAAACAGGAUUAGAUACCCUGGUAGUCCACGCCGUAAACGAUGAGCACUGGACGUUCGGAGGGUUCGACCCUUCUGGGUGUUUCAGCUAACGCAUUAAGUGCUCCGCCUGGGGAGUACGGUCGCAAGACUAAAACUCAAAGGAAUUGAC
rnacentral:rRNA from 1 species